UCCGUUAUAUUUAUGUUAUUAACAAGAUACCUAAACUUUAUGUUAUUACGCAUCCGUUGAACUCCAUUGAAACUGCUUCAUUGCUCACCAUGCACCAGACAGCCAUGCCAUCCUCCACCCGCCACGUGUGGCUGAAGUAAAAGCCAUUGGUAGGAUGCUCCUCGCCUCGACUCUCUCUCACUAACACGAAACCCUGAAAAAAUCAGAGAGACAAGCAUAUCUCCAGUUGGUGAGGAAAGUGAAGAAAGAAAACCGUAGAAAACAAUGGGCACUAUGGAAUGGGAAUCAACUAUUGGAUCUGGGAUGGUGUUUGUUAUCCCGUUUAUAUCGUGGUUUAAUGCUUACAGUUGCCAUUUUUGGGCAAUCUACUGGUCAUUUUGGAUCCAUUGGGGUUCCAGGGUUCCCUUAUUCGUUGCUGGAUUUGGGAAAUUUUCAGAAGUAAUAUGUGAAAAGGAAUGUUAGGGUUUAUAUGGAUGGUUGCUUUGAUCUCAUGCAUUAUGGCCAUGCAAAUGCACUUAAGG